UACGUAGGUGGCAAGCGUUGUCCGGAUUUAUUGGGUUUAAAGGGUGCGUAGGUGGCUAUCUAAGUCAGUGGUGAAAUAUCCCAGCUUAACUGAGAGGGUGCCAUUGAUACUGGAUAGCUUGAGUACAGAUGAGGUAGGCGGAAUUGACGGUGUAGCGGUGAAAUGCAUAGAUAUCGUCAAGAACACCGAUAGCGAAGGCAGCUUACCAAGCUGUAACUGACACUGAGGCACGAAAGUGUGGGGAUCAAACAGG
rnacentral:rRNA from 1 species